rnacentral:misc_RNA from 1 species
AAAAGUAAGUAGCAGUGUUUAUUUUAUAUCCAUAUAUAGAUGCACUUGCUGGCCUAGCAUUUGGAAUACAGCAUCUAUAGAAAUCAUUUUUGAAUUGCUGCAUAUUUGAUUAAGGAAACAAUUUUUUUCUGAAAGCAAUUGGUUGCAUUUCAUUCAAAUUAUAAUGAAAAUCUAGAUGCUGCCUUUUUUUCUUGAAAAUAUCAUUGCAUCUAUUCCCUCAAUGUUCAUAGACGCCAUGUUCCAUACAGACACUGUGGCCCUGUUCAUUUGUAGAAAAUUGGAGUAGUUUUCUAGAAAUAUUAUCUAAGAAAACUGAAAAACGGAGUUUCAUAUUCAUAUGUGCUUGGAGAACUAGAAAACAAUGAUUUUUCUAUAACCAAAGUUAUCCUAGAUCUUUUUCAUAACUAAAAUUAAAUAAUUAAUUUAAAAAAUAUUUAUUUACGAUGAUAAAA